UACGAAGGGGGCUAGCGUUGCUCGGAAUCACUGGGCGUAAAGGGCGCGUAGGCGGAUCUUUAAGUCAGGGGUGAAAGCCCAAGGCUCAACCUUGGAAUUGCCUUUGAUACUGAGGAUCUCGAGACCGGAAGAGGUAAGUGGAACUGCGAGUGUAGAGGUGAAAUUCGUAGAUAUUCGCAAGAACACCAGUGGCGAAGGCGGCUUACUGGUCCGGUUCUGACGCUGAGGCGCGAAAGCGUGGGGAGCAAACAGG
rnacentral:rRNA from 1 species